rnacentral:lncRNA from 1 species
UUUUUUUUCCCUAUGUUUUACAUUUACAGUAUAUUUUUUCCCUUUUCAUAUGUCUCAUUUUUUGUGUCUCCUCCCUUGUACUUUCCAGGUUUCUCCUUUCAUGAUCCGAAAAACGCUGCUGAAUACAGAUGAGCCCAUACUUAGUCCAAUCCCAGACGAUCUUUUGUUCAGGAAUACAGGACGUAUGAAGAUGCCUGGGAUAACCAACCUCUCUAUCAGCAGUUUGCUAACAGCUUUUGCCAGGAUUUGACAAGGAUUUUUGUUCAUCUUGAAAAAUUGCAUAUUCUGAGGAGUUUCUUCUCAAUGCUCCCCUACACCUUGCACACCCUGCUGAGGGAAGGCAGCUUGUUUUCUGCACGGCACUUCUUCCUGAAAGAUGGUUUCAAAGCUAUGGGUUUGAUCUCUCUCUUGGUACUGAAAGAUCAUAAACAAAUAGGUUUCUGCAUUGAACAGGCUGCUAAAGUGCCCUACGUGGGACUGCAUGGGCCAAGGCAUCUUAGCUAG